GACGAACGCUGGCGGCGUGCUUAACACAUGCAAGUCGAACGGAAAGGCCCUGCUUUUGUGGGGUGCUCGAGUGGCGAACGGGUGAGUAACACGUGAGUAACCUGCCCUUGACUUUGGGAUAACUUCAGGAAACUGGGGCUAAUACCGGAUAGGAGCUCCUGCUGCAUGGUGGGGGUUGGAAAGUUUCGGCGGUUGGGGAUGGACUCGCGGCUUAUCAGCUUGUUGGUGGGGUAGUGGCUUACCAAGGCUUUGACGGGUAGCCGGCCUGAGAGGGUGACCGGCCACAAUGGGACUGAGAUACGGCCCAGACUCCUACGGGAGGCAGCAGUGGGGAAUAUUGCAGAAUGGGCGGAAGCCUGAUGCAGCAACGCCGCGUGCGGGAUGACGGCCUUCGGGUUGUAAACCGCUUUCGCCUGUGACGAAGCGUGAGUGACGGUAAUGGGUAAAGAAGCAACGGCUAACUACGUG
rnacentral:rRNA from 1 species